ACCACUUUUGCAUCCAUCGGCCUCUGGCGUGCCUGCCAUGACAUCAUAGCUCUGCGGAGGUGGAAGUUGGGGAGCUUUGAGCCCUCCUCUGUAAAAUGGAAACUCUGUCCCCUUGCUUGUCUUAGGACCUCAUGGAUCCCAGGGGGACCAAGAGAGAAGCUGAGAAGACAGAGGUAGCUGAGCCUCGGAACAAACUACCUCGUCCAGCACCUUCUCUGCCCACAGACCCUGCCCUCUACUCUGGGCCCUUUCCUUUCUACCGGCGCCCUUCGGAACUGGGCUGCUUCUCCCUGGAUGCUCAACGCCAGUACCAUGGAGAUGCCCGAGCCCUGCGCUACUAUAGCCCACCCCCCACUAACGGUCCAGGCCCCAACUUUGACCUCAGAGACGGAUACCCGGAUCGAUACCAGCCCCGGGACGAGGAGGUCCAAGAAAGGCUGGACCACCUGCUGUGCUGGCUUCUGGAACACCGAGGCCGGUUGGAGGGGGGUCCAGGCUGGCUGGCAGAGGCCAUAGUGACGUGGCGGGGGCACCUCACAAAACUGCUGACGACACCGUAUGAGCGGCAGGAGGGCUGGCAGCUGGCAGCCUCCCGGUUCCAGGGAACACUAUACCUAAGUGAAGUGGAGACGCCAAACGCUCGGGCCCAGAGGCUUGCUCGGCCACCGCUCCUCCGGGAGCUUAUGUACAUGGGAUACAAAUUUGAGCAGUACAUGUGUGCAGGUGAGUUGCCCCUG
rnacentral:sRNA from 1 species